CACCCACACCUGGUUCAAAACCACCUCCACGGCAGUCUACCAAAUCAGGCUAACAUCAAUGUGCUUACCCAUGGAUGAGUCUUGCUCCAAAGCCUUCAACACAAAACCCAGGCGGCCUGCCUGUACCCCUGGGGUCCACAGCCCCCAAAGGAGAAACCCCCAGACUAGAGCUAGACAGUGGUACACAGGAACAGAGUAAGGACACAGACCCAGGGGAUCUGAGCCAUCUGCCCCAGAAGGUCAGAGGAGGCUGCUGGCUGGCAUGGUGCUGGGCACUGCCCACGCUGGCUGGGAGAGGCCUGAGGGCCCUAUGGGGAUCCACGACUUCUCAUCCUGAAGGAGGGGGCAUCACGAGGCAGAGAAGCUGCCCACUGCCACCUGCACACUCCCAACAGCAGAGUCCUAGGGCCCAUCCUUUAGCCUGGCCUGCUAGGGGUCCCUGAGAGGAUGUGCCUGGACCCACAUGAAGCUGGCAGAGGGAAGUAUGUGCAUGUGUAUGUGCAUGUAUGUGGUGGGAGGCCCCACGAAGGUGACCCUACACAGUGAGGCAGCCCUGCAGGGCCAGGGCCUGAAUGGAGAGCAAGGCUCCUAUGCCGGCCAGUGGCACUCUAGCCGGCUUGCUCAUCGAUGCCAGAGCCUACAUCCUGGACCCGGCACAGGAGAGUGCACAGAGAUCACCUGCUAUCAGCUGCAAACUCUGCCUUACCCUGUGGCCUGAGGGGCAGGUGACGGAACCCCACAAGAGCAAUACCAGACCAAGAGUCAUACAUUGGACCCCACUAAAGAGAAUCGAGAGGGAAUGAGUACUUGAGGAGUGUGCUAGAAGGGGCUAAGCGGCAGGGCUCUGGGCUGCAGAUGUAUUAAUAGUUGCUGGACCCCAUGAGCACUGUGCACAUGCUCAGAGUCCAUGUGAAUCCCAGGAAGGCAGCACAAUGUCCACUGGGAGAGAAGGCCACGGAGUUCCUGCUGAACCACUCAAUAGCUUAAAAUACAACCAGCCCCUCUCCCUCCUGGGCCAGCCGCCGGGGAGGGCUGAAACCCUACUCUCCCCCAGCUGGACUCUGCAACAAGGCCAGGAGCCCUCUGCACCAACUGGCUGCAAGUGGGUGGCAGGAAAGCAGCAUGGAGAGGGGCCACACUGAACAGCGGUUCCCAAGCCUGUGACAAGGACAGGAGUGCCUGAACCAGGAAGACUCUGGCAAGCCAGGAAGCUUAAGGAAGCCAAAGACGCUGAACCUGAGGAAGGACUGACUCAUCGGCCACUGCCCAUUGUGCCCACUGCUGACUCCACCCAAGCCAGCAGGCAGAAUUUUCACACUAAAUCCCUGGAGGGAGCCAGCCAAACAGGAACUUGCCUGAGCCCCUGAGCACCAAGUCUGUCUAUCCCGUCAACUGCCCCUCAGGCUGGAGGUGCAGCUCAGUGCAGAGAGCUGGAUUGGCAUGUACAAGAUCCUGGGUUCCAUCUCAGCACCACGAAGUCCAAAAACAAUCAGUGUGCAUCACGCUAUCUGAGGUAUCUGUCUAUGGGUAAAAGGUCAUUCUUUUUUAAUUCAAGGUAUUCUAGAAACUGGUUCUCUCCUGCCACCUUGUGGGGUUUAGGGAUCAAACUCAAGCAGGCCUUCAAAAAGUGCCUCUACCAGAUGCGAUAUCUGUCUCCAAGGAAGUCUUUUGAGAGAGGGGGGCCUUCCAGUGGACUGAAUGCUGCCUGGGGGCAAAGGAUGGACUCAGUCCUUCAAAGGUAUCUAUUAUUUUGCUUUUUUAAAUUACAUUUUUAGCCAGGCAUGGUGGCACAUGCCUUUAAACCCAGCUCUUGGGGU